GGAUGUGCUGGGCCUGACCAGCCGCCCGCUUUCCUCUUCUCUUGCCUCUGCCUGCCCCCUGGUGGACAGCUGGGGUAAAGCAUGGGAGUGCGCCUUUGGGGUCUCAGUGGGGCUGAAAUACGACUCCUCCCCUAGGACAGCCUGCCUUCCCCAGCCUUGUUCUCCGGCAAAGUCAAUUUCCUGGAGAAUCGAGGCUCUGCCUCAGAUGUUCGGAGCCUCCGCAGGAUGAACACCUCCAUUUCAAUUCCAGGGGCUUUGAUCAACCUGUGCCUCCCUUGAUCCCCAACUUGUGGGCACCUUCCCUUGAGCAGUGCCCCCACGAGGUACACCUUUCCCGGGAAACAAAAAUCAUUCCUUCUUUGGGUCCUGCAAGCUGUAAAGAACCAAUACAGCACUGUGCUACUGAACAUGUUGCCACUAUAGAAGCCCCUUGUGUUUUGAAGAGUACAUCUCUAUAGCCAUUCGUUUAUUCAUCAGAAACCAGCUAGAAGCCAGGCCCUGUGCUGGGCGCUGGAGACAUGGAAGAAACUGGGCUGAGGCUCCCGCCUUGAAGAGCUUGUGGCCCAGGGAAGGGACAGUUCAUCUGUCAUUGAUUGCCACGUGACAGUGUCUAUGAUGCUAAAAAGAUGCCAGUGCUGUGCUGCAGGAGCAAAGGCCGUGGAGGAAGAGGCUUUGGCUUUGUUGCGAGUCCUUGCCAGAGCCAGGCAAAGCCAGUCACCGCUUUGUUCAGAUGACUCAGGUAAAUAAAUGAGGCCGCACAGGCUGUCCUGACACCACACACCUCUAGAAUACCCUGGCUGUGCUGGGAGCUAUUGGUGUCAGCUGAGUAUUUUCAUCCCUGUCCAAGUCACAAUGAUCUGACUGUACCAGCCUGUGUGGAUGUUGCUAAGAGGAGGCAGACAGCACCAUGAGCUCCCUUAGAUGACGAUCGGCAUGAUGUUCCUGCUGUGGCAGCGCUCAGCUCUUGCCAAUGCUCUUCUCUGCUUUGCUCACUUUAAGCCUCCCUUAAUUUUUUUGAAGCCCAGUUUCCACAUUGCUGAUUCACAGAUAUGCAAGACUCAGGCAGGAAAAAAAAAAGUGUCUCCUUUUCCAGACUUCUUAGAGGACUUGGAAAGAAAAUGAAAUGACGUUGAACGAAAUCAAAGUAAAUUGAGUGAUCUGAAACGAUUUGAUGUCAGCAAGAAUUCCCCAUACAGCUCACAGCCCUACCCCGAGCACGCCUCCCUCUUGGGUAUGCUCUCUGCAGGCCCAAACCUUGCAGAAGCCAUUCCAUGUUUCCUGAGCAGGAAAAGACAAACUCAGACCGACAACCUUGGACUUCAAAAGACUGCACACAAGGGGAGGAAGGACUGAGAGUACCAAGGCGUGAGAAUUCAGAAUGCUGCUAUCUCAUUUAUUUUUACCAUUUAGGAAACGUUUUGAUCUGCAUUCCUUUUCCCUUCCCUGAUUUCAAAAAAUAAAAAUAAAAAUGCUUCGGUUCUGAGGAGUAACUCUCCA
rnacentral:lncRNA from 1 species